GCAGAGAACAAAGAUUGGCAGCUUCCUCCUGAGCACACUGGGAUGUGACAUGACAUCGGGGCUGCCGAGCGCCCUUACCUUCAGCUACCCAGACGCAGAGGCAAGUAUUUGGCUAGAAGAUAUCACUGAUACGUUUCUGGAACACAUGGAGGCCAAGGCAGACAAAAGUAAAGAUGGAAACCAGACCAGCAAAUAAGUCCUUUGAUGACCUUCUGAGUGUCUACAGAUGAAUGCAAAGCUCCCUCACAGUUGUAGGCAACGUCUCAUCUUUUGUCACUUCUGGCAUGACACUGCACAGCCACAGCCAGUACGGUAUCUCUGCCUUUGCCCAUGUCCUGCCUUCUUUCUCCCUGAUCAGUAUCUCCUCACCUCAACCAGCCUGGCCAGCUCCUUGGUCAUGGGGUUGCACCCACCCAGGCAUGUGCCUGGCUCCCCACAACCUCAGAAGCUCUCAGUACAGUGCAGGACCAGAGGUUGAAACCAAUGAAAGGUUGUUAAAUAAAGAGGAAAUGUUUAAUGCUGAGAACAAAGACUAGGAAAGAGAUGUCUAAUAAGAAAUUUUGCAGUGAAAUGC
rnacentral:lncRNA from 1 species